rnacentral:rRNA from 1 species
GCGAUUCCGGCUACGGAUGGUCAUGCGUCGCAUUAGCUGGUUGGCGGGGUAACGGCCCACCAAGGCGACGAUGCGUAGGGGUUCUGAGAGGAAGGUCCCCCACACUGGUACUGAGACACGGACCAGACUCCUACGGGAGGCAGCAGUGAGGAAUAUUGGUCAAUGGCCGCAGGGCUGAACCAGCCAAGUCGCGUGAGGGAUGACGGUCCUAUGGAUUGUAAACCUCUUUUGUCAGGGAGCAAAGGGCGCCACGUGUGGCGCUUUGCGAGUACCUGAAGAAAAAGCAUCGGCUAACUCCGUGCCAGCAGCCGCGGUAAUACGGAGGAUGCGAGCGUUAUCCGGAUUUAUUGGGUUUAAAGGGUGCGCAGGCGGAAUGUCAAGUCAGCGGUAAAAUUUCGGGGCUCAACCCCGUCGUGCCGUUGAAACUGGCGUUCUUGA